rnacentral:rRNA from 1 species
CAUGCGACGUGCUAUAGAUGCAAGUCGAACGAACUCUGGUAUUGAUUGGUGCUUGCAUCAUGAUUUACAUUUGAGUGAGUGGCGAACUGGUGAGUAACACGUGGGAAACCUGCCCAGAAGCGGGGGAUAACACCUGGAAACAGAUGCUAAUACCGCAUAACAACUUGGACCGCAUGGUCCGAGCUUGAAAGAUGGCUUCGGCUAUCACUUUUGGAUGGUCCCGCGGCGUAUUAGCUAGAUGGUGGGGUAACGGCUCACCAUGGCAAUGAUACGUAGCCGACCUGAGAGGGUAAUCGGCCACAUUGGGACUGAGACACGGCCCAAACUCCUACGGGAGGCAGCAGUAGGGAAUCUUCCACAAUGGACGAAAGUCUGAUGGAGCAACGCCGCGUGAGUGAAGAAGGGUUUCGGCUCGUAAAACUCUGUUGUUAAAGAAGAACAUAUCUGAGAGUAACUGUUCAGGUAUUGACGGUAUUUAACCAGAAAGCCACGGCUAACUACGUGCCAGCAGCCGCGGUAAUACGUAGGUGGCAAGCGUUGUCCGGAUUUAUUGGGCGUAAAGCGAGCGCAGGCGGUUUUUUAAGUCUGAUGUGAAAGCCUUCGGCUCAACCGAAGAAGUGCAUCGGAAACUGGGAAACUUGAGUGCAGAAGAGGACAGUGGAACUCCAUGUGUAGCGGUGAAAUGCGUAGAUAUAUGGAAGAACACCAGUGGCGAAGGCGGCUGUCUGGUCUGUAACUGACGCUGAGGCUCGAAAGUAUGGGUAGCAAACAGGAUUAGAUACCCUGGUAGUCCAUACCGUAAACGAUGAAUGCUAAGUGUUGGAGGGUUUCCGCCCUUCAGUGCUGCAGCUAACGCAUUAAGCAUUCCGCCUGGGGAGUACGGCCGCAAGGCUGAAACUCAAAGGAAUUGACGGGGGCCCGCACAAGCGGUGGAGCAUGUGGUUUAAUUCGAAGCUACGCGAAGAACCUUACCAGGUCUUGACAUACUAUGCAAAUCUAAGAGAUUAGACGUUCCCUUCGGGGACAUGGAUACAGGUGGUGCAUGGUUGUCGUCAGCUCGUGUCGUGAGAUGUUGGGUUAAGUCCCGCAACGAGCGCAACCCUUAUUAUCAGUUGCCAGCAUUAAGUUGGGCACUCUGGUGAGACUGCCGGUGACAAACCGGAGGAAGGUGGGGAUGACGUCAAAUCAUCAUGCCCCUUAUGACCUGGGCUACACACGUGCUACAAUGGAUGGUACAACGAGUUGCGAACUCGCGAGAGUAAGCUAAUCUCUUAAAGCCAUUCUCAGUUCGGAUUGUAGGCUGCAACUCGCCUACAUGAAGUCGGAAUCGCUAGUAAUCGCGGAUCAGCAUGCCGCGGUGAAUACGUUCCCGGGCCUUGUACACACCGCCCGUCACACCAUGAGAGUUUGUAACACCCAAAGUCGGUGGGGUAACCUUUUAGGAACCAGCCGCCUAAGGUGGACAGAUUAAGUG